ensembl:rRNA 5S_rRNA 5S ribosomal RNA
AUCUGCGGCCAUACGAUCCUGAGGACUCCCGAUUUCAUCUGACCUUGGACGUUAAGCAGGGUCAGGCCUGGCUAGUACUUGGAUGGGAGGGAAGGGCUGUGAUCUCCUUGGGAGGCAAGUGGUCAUGGACA